AAAUCAAUUUCGACUCAAUUGAACUCUUCAAUCCUAAUCCAAUUAGGAGUCUUAUUGAUUCAUUUGAUUAAUAAUUAAUUGUGACUUAAGAAACCCUAAUCCAAAUUAGGACAUAUUUAAUUUUAGUCCUAAUCCAAUUAGGACUCUAAUUUGAAUCCGAAGUCCUAAUCUGAUUAGGACUCUAGGAAUCCUACUCCAAGUAGGAAUCCAAUUUUAAUUCAAAACUCCUAAUCUAAUUAGGAUUGUAGGAAUCCUAUUCCAAGUAGGAAUCCCAGUCCUACUCCAACUAAGAUUCUCAGUCCUAAUCCAAUUAGGACUCUAGGAAUCCUACUCGAAGUAGGAUUUGUGUUUAAGUCCAAUUAAUUAAUUCCCUUUGUUCCUUCUUCAACUUAAUAUCAAUCUAAUUGAUUACUUGUGAUUUCUAAUCACGAUUCAACCAUCGGAUCGGUCAAUACUUCUAGUGUGUGUGACCCCAUAGGUUCUAUUCUGACUGGUAGUGAGAUAUAUCAUGAUCUCUAUCAUAAUAUCAUUGAAAACUCCUUUCAAUGGAUUGGAACGAUUUCAACUCUACUCAUUAGGGUUUAUCGAUCAUCGAGAUAAUCCCUGUGAGUCCCACCAUCCACCAGUGACACCUAGCAGCAUGUAGUGGCUACCCAGUAGAAUAGAAUGAUGAACCUCUAGGUGCAGUUAUCGUGUGAUACAGUCCUACUAUCGUGGAUCCCUACAGGACGGAGGUCAUGGAUAACUCAUCAAACCCCUUCGUCUGUCAUAUGUCAAGAUUUAUUCGACUCGAGUUCGAUAAUGGAAAACUCUUUCUCCACUUUAUAUUACUGCCCUGGCCAAGGUCUUAGAACUCAGUCUAACAAAUCUCAUAGGAUCACUCCUCUUCUAUCAAGGUCGAUGGAUUCCAUGUAAGUGCAUACCCUACUCCUACAGUGAACUUACUGCAGCCAAUCUACACUACAAGGACCCAUAUGACUAGAGACCAUGUAUACGUGUAGUCAAACUACAAUAACCUCACUGUGAGUAGCCGAAGCACCACAGGUCAAAGGACCAGUCAUACUACUGCAACAUCAAGCAAGUCACUGACGAGUGGAUAGACAUCCAAGUGACUUCUUGUCUUGGUUACGCUCAGUACCCUUGUUCUCUAACAAGCACCUGCACUAUCACUUCAGUGUCCCUACACUGUGGACUCAAGUCUCGUCCAUCCAGAAGGAAAGUGAUCUGUGCACUGAUCGGAUCGAUCACCGUCCUCGUGAUGAUCCAUUGAUCAGGAGCAUUCAGAAAUUAAUCACUAAUGAUACAUGGCUCAAAUUCUCAACUCUUGAGAAUAUGCAUCAUCAUCUUAUUAAUUUCUUGGACGAUUCAUUGACACAUAAAUAAUAUGAAUGAAAAGAUGCCUUUUAUUUAUUCAAUAAUAAAUAGUCAAGUACAAAAUUAUGUCCCUAGAAUUAACAAUGUGUCAGCCAGAUUGGCUUCUAGGGCAUACAUCUAACAAUAACAAUCUAGGACCUCACCCAAAAAAAGCUAGUCGGAAGGUAUUAUUUGAGUUCUUUGAUCCUGUAUAAGUAUCUAUGAUCUACCUAACGAAUAACCGAUGUGGGACUAAACACGCACCUACACGGAUCCUCACAUACUCUCCCCGUUUGAACCCUAACGUCCUCAUCAGGCUAAAAGUCCAAAACCAUUCAAAUUUAAUCACAAAUAUCAUGAUCGAUCCGUGGUCAGUCUCAAAUGAGCCCAUGCUGCAGUGUCCCUCAGUCCACAUGGGCUAUGGACUGGGUCUGUUCUGAUACCAUUUGUAGCAACUCAUAACGUUAUCUAAAUAAGCUAGUCGAAAGGUAUUAUUUGGAUUUCUUGAUUCUGUACAAGUAUCCAAGAUCUACCGAGUCAAUAAUCGAUGUAGGACUAAACACACGCCCGUACGGGUCCUCAUGUUACCAUCACCAAUCAGAUCGCCAAACUAAGUGGCCAACCGGUGCUUGGAGAAUUACUCACAAUGCUUUGCUCGUGAUAGACUAAAGGACUAGGUACAUAGACUUCCUUGGGUAGAAAAGUGGGACAGUAACUUCUACAAAUACCACUUUAUUUGAAGUUGUCUAUUGCCAACUACCACCCAUCAUUACUUUUAAUUCUCAUGGCUCUUCACAUGUGCAUCAUGUUGAUCAUGAUUUAUAUGAUAGAGAUCUGGUGCUACAACUUCUCAAGUAUAAUUUUCAUGGUAUUGGGACACAAGCUCGAAUGAAGCAACAAGCAGUGAUAAGUACAUGACUGAGAGGGAACUUGAAGUAGGUGAUAGAUAAUAAGGACUUCCUUCGACCUCAGCACUAUAAACAAGCUUCCACCAAUGUGAGAGCAUCUAUGAAGCUGUCUCCUAGAUUCAAAUGGACCAUACAAGAUGAUCGAAUGCAUUUAUCCAAUUGUGUACCGCCUUGAUUUGCCUCGCAGGUCCAAAAUACGUCCGGUAUUUCAUAUCUCAUGCUUAAAGAAGUUGGAUGAGCAUAUUUUCCCUCAGCAUCACUUAUGAGAUAUUUCACCAAGACUAGAAAUUAAAUUUUUGGCAGCACACUAUCUUGGUUUGAUGAUUUAUAAUGAAGGGUUCUAGCAUGCUAUAAUGGGCAGCGGAAGCUAGGAAUUUUAAAAAUUUCUUGAUAAAGUUCCUUAACAUAAAACCCUUAUAAGCCAAGAUCACCUUAAUGGAAGCAAUCAAAUAAUAUAAUAUAAAUGCAGAAAUAGAAGAAUACCUCUAACGCUAAUCCAAUGUGCAGAAUUUUCACUAGGUGCCCAAGUGUUCACCCUCCAACGUUGAUCCACACGAAAACUUGAUUUAAAUCUUAAGCUCCAAAGAUUUUGAUCCUUAA
rnacentral:lncRNA from 1 species